rnacentral:rRNA from 1 species
AUGUAAACUUGUUUGAAAAGUAAAAUAAGAUAUUGUGAUUUGUUAAGAAAAAUAAUUUUUAAUAGUUGAUUAAUUAGUAUAAUGAAAUUUAGAUUAAAACUAUAGUUUAAAAGUACCGUGGGGGAAAGUUUAAAUAUAAUGAAAAAUUUAAUUUUAGAAAAGAAAUUAUAAAGUUAUGUACCUUUUGUAUCAGGGAAGAUUAAAAUUUUCUAGGUAGGCUGGGUAUCCCGAAAAAAGAAUAGCUAAAAAAUUAAAAACGUUUUAGUUGUAAAUAGAUUUUUAAUAAUUUUUUGGUAGUGAAAUAUUAAUCGAGUCUUUUAAUAUCUGGUUGUUUCAGAAAAAAAUUUAAUUUUGUUUGAAUAUAGAAAAGCUAAUUCAAGUAAAUAAUUGGAGGGAAAAGCUUCUGGUUAAUUAAUUAAAUAUAAAGUGAUACAGUUGAAAUUUAUUUUAACUAAGCUUAGAAGUAGUUAUGUUAGUAAAGUGUUUUAACUAAAAUUUUUAAUAGUUGAUAUUUGUAUGACUUUUAUUUAUUUAGUAUGAAAUUUUAAUAAUAAGUCUUAUAUUAUUAGAAAAAAUGAUUUUAUUAGUAUAAUUAUCUUUGUCAAGAAUUAACUAAAUGAAAUAAAAAUUUUUCUUUGUUAAUAAACUGAAGAUGCAGUAAAGGAACUCGGCAAAUAAAAUUUCUGCCUGUUUAUCAAAAACAUGUCUUUAUGAAAAUUUAUGUAAAGUCUAGCCUGCCCAGUGAUGUUUAAGUUUAACGGCCGCGGUAGUAUGACCGUGCUAAGGUAGCAU